rnacentral:rRNA from 1 species
AGAGUUUGAUCCUGGCUCAGAUUGAACGCUGGCGGCAUGCCUUACACAUGCAAGUCGAACGGCAGCACGGGUGCUUGCACCUGGUGGCGAGUGGCGAACGGGUGAGUAAUACAUCGGAACGUACCUUGUAGCGGGGGAUAGCUCGGCGAAAGCCGGAUUAAUACCGCAUACGCUCUGAGGAGGAAAGCGGGGGACCUUCGGGCCUCGCGCUACAAGAGCGGCCGAUGUCAGAUUAGCUAGUUGGUGAGGUAAAAGCUCACCAAGGCGACGAUCUGUAGCUGGUCUGAGAGGACGACCAGCCACACUGGGACUGAGACACGGCCCAGACUCCUACGGGAGGCAGCAGUGGGGAAUUUUGGACAAUGGGCGAAAGCCUGAUCCAGCAAUGCCGCGUGUGUGAAGAAGGCCUUCGGGUUGUAAAGCACUUUUGUCCGGAAAGAAAUCCUCUGGGUUAAUACCUCGGGGGGAUGACGGUACCGGAAGAAUAAGCACCGGCUAACUACGUGCCAGCAGCCGCGGUAAUACGUAGGGUGCAAGCGUUAAUCGGAAUUACUGGGCGUAAAGCGUGCGCAGGCGGUUUUGUAAGACGGAUGUGAAAUCCCCGGGCUUAACCUGGGAACUGCAUUCGUGACUGCAAGGCUAGAGUAUGGCAGAGGGGGGUAGAAUUCCACGUGUAGCAGUGAAAUGCGUAGAGAUGUGGAGGAAUACCGAUGGCGAAGGCAGCCCCCUGGGCCAAUACUGACGCUCAUGCACGAAAGCGUGGGGAGCAAGCAGGAUUAGAUACCCUGGUAGUCCACGCC